CCUAAUACAUGCAAGUAGAACGCUGAAGACUGGUGCUUGCACUAGUCAGAUGAGUUGCGAACGGGUGAGUAACGCGUAGGUAACCUACCUCAUAGCGGGGGAUAACUAUUGGAAACGAUAGCUAAUACCGCAUGACAAUUAAGUACUCAUGUACUAAAUUUAAAAGGAGCAAUUGCUUCACUAUGAGAUGGACCUGCGUUGUAUUAGCUAGUUGGUGAGGUAACGGCUCACCAAGGCUACGAUGCAUAGCCGACCUGAGAGGGUGAUCGGCCACACUGGGACUGAGACACGGCCCAGACUCCUACGGGAGGCAGCAGUAGGGAAUCUUCGGCAAUGGGGGCAACCCUGACCGAGCAACGCCGCGUGAGUGAAGAAGGUUUUCGGAUCGUAAAGCUCUGUUGUUAGAGAAGAACGGUAAUGGGAGUGGAAAAUCCAUUACGUGACGGUAACUAACCAGAAAGGGACGGCUAACUACGUGCCAGCAGCCGCGGUAAUACGUAGGUCUCGAGCGUUGUCCGGAUUUAUUGGGCGUAAAGCGAGCGCAGGCGGUUAUUUAAGUCUGAAGUUAAAGGCCGUGGCUCAACCAUGGUUCGCUUUGGAAACUGGAUAACUUGAGUGCAGAAGGGGAGAGUGGAAUUCCAUGUGUAGCGGUGAAAUGCGUAGAUAUAUGGAGGAACACCGGUGGCGAAAGCGGCUCUCUGGUCUGUAACUGACGCUGAGGCUCGAAAGCGUGGGGAGCAAACAGGAUUAGAUACCCUGGUAGUCCACGCCGUAAACGAUGAGUGCUAGGUGUUAGGCCCUUUCCGGGGCUUAGUGCCGCAGCUAACGCAUUAAGCACUCCGCCUGGGGAGUACGACCGCAAGGUUGAAACUCAAAUGAAUUGACGG
rnacentral:rRNA from 1 species